rnacentral:rRNA from 1 species
CCUACGGGCGGCUGCAGUAGGGAAUCUUCCACAAUGGGCGAAAGCCUGAUGGAGCAACGCCGCGUGGGUGAAGAAGGUCUUCGGAUCGUAAAACUUUGUUGUUAGAGAAGAAAGUGCGUGAGAGUAACCGUUCACGUUUCGACGGGAUCUAACCAGAAAGCCACGGUCCACUACGUGCAAGCAGCCGCGGCAAUACGUAGGUGGCAAGCGUUAUUCGGAUUUUUUGGGUUUAAAGGGUGCGCAGGCGGUCUGUUAAGUCAGCGGUAAAAGCCCGGGGCUCAACCCCGGCGAGCCGUUGAAACUGGCGGGCUGGAGUUGGAGAGAGGUACGCGGAAUGCGCGGUGUAGCGGUGAAAUGCUUAGAUAUCGCGCAGAACCCCGAUUGCGAAGGCAGCGUACCGGCUCCACACUGACGCUGAGGCACGAAAGCGUGGGUAUCGAACAGGAUUAGAUACCCGAGUAGUC